GAUGAACGCUAGCGGCAGGCUUAACACAUGCAAGUCGAGGGGUAGAGGAAGCUUGCUUCCUUGAGACCGGCGCACGGGUGCGUAACGCGUAUACAAUCUACCUUUUACAGAGGGAUAGCCCAGAGAAAUUUGGAUUAAUACCUCAUAGUAUUUUCGGAUCGCAUGAUUUGAUUAUUAAAGUUCCAACGGUAAAAGAUGAGUAUGCGUCCCAUUAGCUAGAUGGUAAGGUAACGGCUUACCAUGGCAAUGAUGGGUAGGGGUCCUGAGAGGGAGAUCCCCCACACUGGUACUGAGACACGGACCAGACUCCUACGGGAGGCAGCAGUGAGGAAUAUUGGACAAUGGGCGCAAGCCUGAUCCAGCAAUGCCGCGUGAGUGAUGAAGGCCUUAGGGUUGUAAAGCUCUUUUACCGGGAUGAUAAUGACAGUACCGGAGAUAAGCUCCGGCUAACUCCAUGCCCAGCAGCCGCGGUAAAGUGACUACUG
rnacentral:rRNA from 1 species